rnacentral:rRNA from 1 species
GAUGAACGCUGGCGGCGUGCCUAAUACAUGCAAGUCGAGCGAACAGACGAGGAGCUUGCUCCUCUGACGUUAGCGGCGGACGGGUGAGUAACACGUGGAUAACCUACCUAUAAGACUGGGAUAACUUCGGGAAACCGGAGCUAAUACCGGAUAAUAUAUUGAACCGCAUGGUUCAAUAGUGAAAGACGGUUUUGCUGUCACUUAUAGAUGGAUCCGCGCCGCAUUAGCUAGUUGGUAAGGUAACGGCUUACCAAGGCAACGAUGCGUAGCCGACCUGAGAGGGUGAUCGGCCACACUGGAACUGAGACACGGUCCAGACCCCUACGGGAGGCAGCAGUAGGGAAUCGUCCGCAAUGGGCGAAAGCCUGACGGAGCAACGCCGCGUGAGUGAUGAAGGUCUUCGGAUCGUAAAACUCUGUUAUUAGGGAAGAACAAAUGUGUAAGUAACUAUGCACGUCUUGACGGUACCUAAUCAGAAAGCCACGGCUAACUACGUG